AUUGAACGCUGGCGGCAGGCCUAACACACGCAAGUCGAGCGAGCGGCGGAUGGGUGUGUAAUGUAUGGGGACUGCCCGUUAGAGGGGGAUAACUACUGGAAUCGGUAGCUAGUACCGCAUUCUAUCGCAAAACCUAUAUGGGAUUAGCUAGUAGGUUGGGUAAUCGCUCACCUAGGCGACGAUCCCUCGCUGGUCUGAGAGGAUGUUCAGACACACUGGGACGGAGACACAGCCCAGACUCCUACGGAGGCAUCAGUGGGGAAUAUUGCACAAUGGGUGCAAGCCUGAUGCAGCCAUGCCGCGUGUAUGAAGAAGGCCUUAGGGAUGUAAAGUACUUUCAGUCGGGAGGCGUUACCGACAGAAGAAGCACCGGCUAACUCCAUGCCAGCAGCCGCGGUAAUUC
rnacentral:rRNA from 1 species